rnacentral:rRNA from 1 species
AACGUAGGAGACAAACGUUAUCCGGAGUUACUGGGCGUAAAGGGCGUGUAGGCGGUUUGUUAAGUCUGGCGUGAAAGCUCUCGGCUAAACCGGGAGAGGUCGUUGGAUACUGGCAAACUAGAGGACGGUAGAGGCGUGUGGAAUUCCGGGUGUAGUGGUGAAAUGCGUAGAGAUCCGGAGGAACACCAGUGGCGAAGGCGACACGCUGGGCCGUACCUGACGCUAAAGCGCGACAGCAUGGGGAGCAAACAGG